rnacentral:rRNA from 1 species
UACGUAGGGCGCAAGCGUUGUCCGGAAUUAUUGGGCGUAAAGAGCUCGUAGGCGGUCUGUCGCGUCUGCUGUGAAAACUCGGGGCUUAACCCCGGGCCUGCAGUGGGUACGGGCAGACUAGAGUGCGGUAGGGGAGACUGGAAUUCCUGGUGUAGCGGUGAAAUGCGCAGAUAUCAGGAGGAACACCGGUGGCGAAGGCGGGUCUCUGGGCCGUAACUGACGCUGAGGAGCGAAGCGUGGGGAGCGAACAGG